UACGGAGGGUGCAAGCGUUGUCCGGAUUUAUUGGGUUUAAAGGGUGCGUAGGCGGCUUUUUAAGUCAGCGGUGAAAGCCCGGGGCUCAACCCCGGAACCGCCGUUGAUACUGGAAGGCUUGAGUAUGGACGAGGUUGGCGGAAUUGAGGGUGUAGCGGUGAAAUGCUUAGAUACCCUCAAGAACACCGAUUGCGUAGGCAGCUAACUAGACCAUAACUGACGCUGAGGCACGAAAGCGUGGGGAGCGAACAGG
rnacentral:rRNA from 1 species